GGUCAAACAAGAAAGAGCGCAGGGUGGAUGCCUUGGCACUAAGAGCCGAUGAGGACGUGAUAAGCUGCGAAAAGCUGCGGGGAGGAGCAAAUAUCCAUUGAUCCGCAGGUAUCCGAAUGGGGAAACCCACCUGGAUAAACUCCAGGUAUCCAUACGCCAAUCCAUAACGUAUGGAAGGGAACCCGGUGAACUGAAACAUCUAAGUAGCCGGAGGAAAAGAAAGAAAACUCGAUUCCCAGAGUAGCGGCGAGCGAAAUGGGAGGAGCCUAAACCAGCGUGCGUGCAUGCUGGGGUUAUGGACUGCAGAAGUUACCGGAAAGGAUAGUGGAAUGGUUUUGGGAAAGCCAGCCAGAGAGGGUGAAAGCCCCGUACACGAAAUCCGGACCGGGACGGCAGGAUCCAGAGUACCACGAGACACGUGGAACCUUGUGGGAAGUCGGGGGG
rnacentral:rRNA from 1 species